AUUGAACGCUGGCGGCAUGCCUUACACAUGCAAGUCGAACGGCAGCAUGGAAGAGCUUGCUCUUCUGAUGGCGAGUGGCGAACGGGUGAGUAAAGCAUCGGAACGUACCGUGUAGUGGGGGAUAACGUAGCGAAAGUUACGCUAAUACCGCAUACGCACUGAGGUGGAAAGCAGGGGAUCGCAAGACCUUGCGCUAUACGAGCGGCCGAUGUCAGAUUAGCUAGUUGGUAGGGUAAAGGCCUACCAAGGCGACGAUCUGUAGCGGGUCUGAGAGGAUGAUCCGCCACACUGGGACUGAGACACGGCCCAGACUCCUACGGGAGGCAGCAGUGGGGGAAUUUUGGACAAUGGGCGAAAGCCUGAUCCAGCCAUGCCGCGUGAGUGAAGAAGGCCUCGGUGUAAGNUCUUUGUCUAGGGAAGAAACAGACAGCUCUAACACAGU
rnacentral:rRNA from 1 species